GAGCCCAGGACCACACCACACCAUGAAAUCGAUUUGCUGACAAAACUGAGACCGUUGUGGAGGAAACAUCCUUUGCCCAUGACGGUCAGGACGCGACCCCUCUCCCCUCUGCUGAGGCGCUGAUUGAGAUCGACCCAGCGCAGGAGUCCGUCUGGCCCAGCUUUACGACCCUCAGACCCGUCUUCCAUCAGACUCUGGAGCGUUUCCACACUUACCUGAGAGAGCUUUUAAGCCAACUGGGCUUUGGGCUUGGAGCCCAGGACCACACCACACCCACUGAAAUCGAUUUCUCUGACAAAACUGAGACCGUUGUGGAGGAAACAUCCUUUGCCCAUGACGGUCAGGACGCGACCCCUCUCCCCUCUGCUGAGGCGCUGAUUGAGAUCGACCCAGCGCAGGAGUCCGUCUGGCCCAGCUUUACGACCCUCAGACCCGUCUUUC